UUUCUGAUUUUAUUUUCCUUUUAUUAUUUUAAUUCCAUUUCAUUUUAAAAAUUCAUAUCUCUCUCAUUAUUGGUCCAAAAAUUAUGGGACCAAUUUCAUUCUUCUCCUUUUAACUUCUAGUUUCUAAAAGUGAUUUUUAAUAUUUUUUAUUUCAUCAUUUAAUAUAUUUUAGUCAUUUUCUCUUUUCUGGUUAUUUUUAAUUCAUUUAAAAUAGUUUUUGAUAUCCAAAAAAUACAAAAAUAUUUUUCCAACCUCU
rnacentral:lncRNA from 1 species